rnacentral:rRNA from 1 species
UACAGAGGUCCCAAGCGUUGUUCGGAUUCACUGAGCGUAAAGGGUGCGUAGGUGGCAAGGUAAGUCUGAUGUGAAAUCUUCGAGCUCAACUCGGAAACUGCAUCGGAAACUAUCUCGCUAGAGGAUUGGAGGGGGGACUGGAAUUCUCGGUGUAGCAGUGAAAUGCGUAGAUAUCGAGAGGAACACCAGUGGCGAAGGCGAGUCCCUGGACAAUUCCUGACACUGAGGCACGAAAGCUAGGGGAGCAAACAGG